ACCGGCGUCGAAUAUCAUCAUUGGUUACAGUCCGCUAUACAGGUAAAUCGUUCAGCUAAUCCGAAUUCGAAAUAACAUCAAGGCCGUUAUUUCACAGUUACAGCCCAAGGGUACGCCAACGAAUGUAGCGGAUUUCACCUCGAACUCAGCUCGCACCUGAAAUGUGUUGCACGUGUACCUUGGAACGAGUUGAUUUCGCUAGCUUGUCUAGCGAUCCAACCGUUCUCAGAUCCGGUCACCUCGUUCUGGUUAGCGGUCCGAUCCAAAACACCAAGUCCAUUUCCUGUCUUCCUGCAACUGCAAGAGAAGAAGAAGAAGGAAUCUCAUUCAUUCAGGUAUGCUUUGCCUGACGGUUAUUUGAGCUUCUGCUUUGAGGGAAAAAAGGUCGACUGAAAGGAGAAGGGAACGAGGUUUUCUUAUGUGCUUUUAAAGGUGAAGAACCUUGAGUGGUGUGCCUUCAAAGUGAAAAGAGUUCAUGCAAAGUCCACCUUGUGGCAUGAAUGACCUACUCAUCUCCAGUCAAGGUGCAUCAGAUACUAUAAGUCAGCACCACUUUAUUGACCUGGUUAACAGAUCUAUGAGUGUUCAAGGAACUAAGAUGAGAAGAUAUACUUGAAUGAGUUUCUUUCUCUUUCUCAAGGUUAUGGAGGAGUCUGACAAGUUGGGUGUGUCAGCUUCAUCACAGUCCUUUAGCUCAAAGGCAAGCUUAUGUUGGGGUUGGAUCCUUCUCGUACUUGGUUCAGUUUCAUUUUUGGGCUUCUUUUAUGCUGCUAUCCUAUCCAAACUUCUCCCUCAAUCUCAAAAUCAGAUUUUAUCAGCCAUUCAAAAUGACAGGUACUACUGCUUAUUGGUUCCCCUGACACUUCCUGUGCUUGUGAUUGCUGUAUAUUUCCAUUGGUUGAGCAUGAAACUUUUCAAGCAUGCAUGAAUUAUUCAUCCUCUUUGGGUUAAGAACUUGUAACUGGGAAAGUUUUGAAUAUAUGCCAUGUUUAAUGUUGGCUUCUCCAUUCUGGUAUAAAGCCAAGUACCAGCAUUACAUUUGUGUAUUUUUAAUACCAAAUUACCAAUAAAAGCUUCUAGUCACCUCUCC